rnacentral:misc_RNA from 1 species
ACACCUCAACCCUCAUGGUUUGCCAUGACGGGCUUGGACUUUGGGGGUCUUGCUGGAUUGUAGUCAGCUCCCCUUAAAUGAAUCAGCUUGCCAGUGUUUGGUGGCAUCACAGGUGUGAUAAAUAUCUACGCUUGUGGUUUUCCACCAGGUAACCUUCAGCAAUGGAGGUUCGCUGGGGUUCAUAAAUGUCUCUCCUCAGUGAGGACAGCUCUUUGAAU